rnacentral:rRNA from 1 species
AUGGCGGAGGAACCGUCCGCCAAGCGUCAUCAUGGUGAGACGUCCGACAAGAGCAGCAUCCUCGACAACGUUCACGUCCCCAGUGAGAAGCGCGAGUACACCAAAACCCUCACAGGGGUUGAUCUCCACGGCAAGGAGACGCUGGAGAUCAUCUGCACCAGCGAACCAGACAAGGCCGGCAAGAUGAUCUCCAGGCUCUGGAGGAGGGCUGGCGGCUUGAUUCGUAGGAUCGUUGGCGUUGGUGUGCGGUACACCAGGGAAGAAGAACCUCCCCAGAUGGCAGCAGUCCUAUAG